rnacentral:rRNA from 1 species
CCUACGGGAGGCAGCAGUGGGGAAUAUUGGGCAAUGGGCGCAAGCCUGACCCAGCAACGCCGCGUGAAGGAAGAAGGCUUUCGGGUUGUAAACUCCUUUUCUGAGGGACGAAGAAAGUGACGGUACCUCAGGAAUAAGCCACGGCUAACUACGAGCCAGCAGCAGCGGCAAGACGUAGGUGGCAAGCGUUAUCCGGAUUUAUUGGGUGUAAAGGGCGAGUAGGCGGGAAAGCAAGGCAGAUGUGAAAACUAAGGGCUCAACCCUGAGCCUGCAUUUGAACCUGGUUUUCUUGAGUGCUGGAGAGGCAAUCGGAAUGCCGGGUGUAGCGGUGAAAUGCGUAGAUAUACGGAGGAACACCAGUGGCGAAGGCGGAUUGCUGGACAGUAACUGACGCUGAGGCGCGAACGCGUGGGGAGCAAACAGGAUUAGAUACCCGGGUAGUC